rnacentral:rRNA from 1 species
GAUGAACGCUGGCGGCGUGCCUAAUACAUGCAAGUCGAGCGAACACACGAGGAGUUUGCUCCGGUGACGUUAGCCGCGGACGGGUGUGUAACACGUGGAUAACCUACCUAUCAGACUGGGGUAACUUCGGAAAACGGGUACUAACACCGCAGAAUAUCUUGAACCGCAGGGUGCAAUAGUGAAAGAGGGUUUUGCUGUCACCCAUAGACGGAUUCGCGCCGCAUUAGCUAGUUGGUAAGGUAACGGCUUAACAAGGCAACGAUCAGUAGCCGACCUGAGAGGGUGAUCGGCCACACUGGAACUGAGACACGGUCCAGACUCCUACGGGAGGCAGCAGUAGGGAAUCUUCCGCAAUGGGCGAAAGCCUGACGGAGCAACGCCGCGUGAGUGAAGAAGGUCUUCGGAUCGUAAAACUCUGUUAUUAGGGAAGAACACCUGUGUAAGUAGCCGUGCGCGUCUUGACGGUACCUAAACAGAAAGCAACGGCUAACUACGUG